UUCUGAGUUUGUGUGUGUAUUUGGCAGUAGUCGUCUCCUCUUGUGUCAGUGAGUUUCAUUAUGUCUGUAUGCUUACAUGAACAUGAAAGUCAAGAGAAGCUGAAGGACUUUGCUGUUAUAAGACACCCACACCACGGAUUCAAGCCAACCAAAGCCCUGCGGUGAGGUGAUUGACCGUGUGAUGAUUACCUGUGCUGACGGCCGGCUGUGAACCGAAGCCGUCUCAUCCCGAAGCCUCAUUCUGCUGCAGCACCUCACUGUAAUCCACGCUGUCAAAGUUAGUCCUCCACAGCAUCACCUGCAGCAGGUCAAUCAUCAUCACCACGCACACAGCACAGCUGAACACUCACGUCAGUGUGGACAACACACGAGCUCACCUGUUCAUCUGAAGUCUCCAGUCCUCGAGAAGGACACACAGCUGGCCGGACCCUACAAACAAGCACAACAGCAGUGUUUAUUACAGGACUCCAAGGACAAACACUCAGCUCUGGAGAUGAACAACUAAACAUCUCCAUCAUCUCGCAGAAGAUAUCAGUACGUGUACAUGUGCACCAGUAAUGGGAUUAUUACCAGUAAUCAGAGCAAGGACUUCAUGGAGGAUGUAUGAACACUGGGACACAGAAGCGAAUCUGCGAGUCAAGAUGAUACAGAGACUGGAAACAGGGCAGAAGAGCACGAGCACUGCUCUGAUGAACACAGGGGGGC
ensembl:lncRNA